rnacentral:rRNA from 3 species
CCUGGCGGCAGUAGCGCGGUGGUCCCACCUGACCCCAUGCCGAACUCAGAAGUGAAACGCCGUAGCGCCGAUGGUAGUGUGGGG